rnacentral:rRNA from 1 species
UACGUAGGUGGCAAGCGUUGUCCGGAUUUACUGGGCGUAAAGAGCGCGCAGGCGGUCGUUCAAGUCGCGUGUGAAAGCCCCCGGCUCAACUGGGGAGGGUCACGCGAUACUGAUCGACUCGAAGGCAGGAGAGGGUAGUGGAAUUCCCGGUGUAGUGGUGAAAUGCGUAGAGAUGCGGAGGAACACCGAUGGCGAAGGCAGCCCCCUGGGCUGACACUGACGCUCAGGCACGAAAGCGUGGGGAGCAAACAGG